CCGACUGAAGGGAUGACGACUAACGUUACCAAAAGAAAUAAAUGCUGAUAGGCUACUGCUGGACCCUUGGUUUGAGGCGAACUCUGUCAUAUCCAGGAUGAAGUGUCAUGCACUCCACCCCUCCUGCCACUCGACUGCACCUGUACGUACAUGAAGAAAGAACCUCACCCAGAGACCUGGGAAUGUCGGACCUGAGCCCUAGGACCAUGCCCCAGGACUACCUGACAUGAUGACUCCUUGCUGUCC